UAGCGGAGGGGGCUAGCGUUGUUCGGAAUUACUGGGGCGUAAAGCGCGCGCAGGCGGUCUUCCAAGGUCAGUGGUGAAAGCCCGGAGCUCAACUCCGGAACUGCCAUUGAAACUGUAAGACUUGAGGAUGGAGAGAGGUGAGUGGAAUUCCCAGUGUAGAGGUGAAAUUCGUAGAUAUUGGGAAGAACACCGGUGGCGAAGGCGGCUCACUGGCUCAUAUCUGACGCUCGAGGCGCGACAGCGUGGGGAUCAAACAGG
rnacentral:rRNA from 1 species